GUGAGUAACGCGUGGAGAACCUGCCGUAUACUGGGGGAUAACACUUAGAAAUAGGUGCUAAUACCGCAUAAGCGCACAGCUUCGCAUGAAGCAGUGUGAAAAACUCCGGUGGUAUACGAUGGAUCCGCGUCUGAUUAGCUGGUUGGCGGGGUAACAGCCCACCGAGGCGACGAUCAGUAGCCGGCCUGAGAGGGUGAACGGCCACAUUGGGACUGAGACACGGCCCAAACUCCUACGGGAGGCAGCAGUGGGGAAUAUUGCACAAUGGGGGAAACCCUGAUGCAGCGACGCCGCGUGAGUGAAGAAGUAUUUCGGUAUGUAAAGCUCUAUCAGCAGGGAAGAAAUACUGACCUUACGGUCAGCAGACGGUACCUGACUAAGAAGCCCCAGCUAACUACGUGCCAGCAGCCGCGGUAAUACGUAGGGGGCAAGCGUUAUCCGGAUUUACUGGGUGUAAAGGGAGCGUAGACGGCAGCGCAAGUCUGAAGUGAAAUCCCAUGGCUUAACCAUGGAACUGCUUUGGAAACUGUGCAGCUGGAGUGCAGGAGAGGUAAGCGGAAUUCCUAGUGUAGCGGUGAAAUGCGCAGAUAUUAGGAGGAACACCAGUGGCGAAGGCGGCUUACUGG
rnacentral:rRNA from 1 species